AAAUUCGCGAACACGAAGUUUAAGGGAGCUAAUUUCGUUUAUAUUAUUUUAUAGAUGCUAGAUGUCUGCAAAAUUAUUUAAAGUAAUAAUUAGGGGUCGAUAGGCUUACCACAUUCUAACGAUAACUUGAUGGUCUAGAAAUGUACUAGUACGGAGACACUCUUGAAGUGACAAGGUUUCAAGAGGGAGACAAAUAUUUGAAUUAUAUUCAGUAUCAUAUUUAACCAUAAAUAUGUAAUACAUUUUAAUAUUAAUAUAAAAAACUUGUUUAACUUACAGACCAAUUUCCGAACUCUACUUAAAUUUAUAAUGUUUGUAUUAGUAAUUAAGAAGUAUUAAUAAUGAACUCGGCAAAAAGUCCUUCAACUGUUUAUCAAAAACAUAGCCAUAUGAAAAAAUAUAUGGUAAUUUCUGCUCAAUGAAUAAUUAAAUAGCCGCAGUACCCUGACUGUGCUAAGGUAGCGCAAUCAAUUGACUUUUGAAUGAAGUCCAGUAUGAAAGAAAUUAUGGGGGGCUACUUUCUCCUUAAUAAUUAAUAAACUUACUUAAAAAGUGCAAAUUCUUUUAGGUUAAAUAAAAGACGAGAAGACCCUAGAAAUUUUAAGAAAUUGACUUUUUGUUGGGGCAACAAAGUAGCAUUUAAUCUACGGCGAUAACACGAAAAUAGUAUUUAGCAAGAUAAAAUUACUCUAGGGAUAACAGCAUAAUUUGUAAAAGUUUGUGACCUCGAUGUUGGAUUAGGGAAUUU
rnacentral:rRNA from 1 species